rnacentral:rRNA from 1 species
UAGGGAAUUUUCCGCAAUGGGCGCAAGCCUGACGGAGCAAUGCCGCGUGGAGGAUGAAGUAUCUCGGUACGUAAACUCCUUUUCUGUGGGACGAUAUUUGACGGUACCACAGGAAUAAGUAUCGGCUAACUACGUGCCAGCAGCAGCGGUAAUACGUAGGAUACGAGCGUUAACCGGAUUUAUUGGGCGUAAAACGCGUGUAGGCGGUGCGGUAAGUCUAUUGUUAAAUCCUUGCGCUUAACGCAAGAACUGCAACGGAUACUGCCGUGCUAGAGAAGAUGAGGGGAAAACGGAAUUCCCGGUGUAGCGGUAAAAUGCAUUGAUAUCGGGAGGAACACCAGAAGCGAAGGCGGUUUUCUAGCAUCUUUCUGACGCUGAGACGCGAAAGCUAGGGUAGCGAAAGGG